rnacentral:rRNA from 1 species
UACGUAGGGGGCGAGCGUUGUCCGGAUUCAUUGGGCGUAAAGAGCUCGUAGGCGGUUCGGUAAGUCGGGUGUGAAAUCUUCGUGCUCAACACGGAGCGGCCACCUGAUACUGCCGUGACUCGAGUCCGGUAGGGGAGUGUGGAAUUCCCGGUGUAGCGGUGAAAUGCGCAGAUAUCGGGAGGAACACCAGUAGCGAAGGCGGCACUCUGGGCCGUGACUGACGCUGAGGAGCGAAAGCGUGGGUAGCAAACAGG